GCCAGGCAUGGUGGUGCACACCUGUAGUCCCAGCUACUCAGGAGGCUGAGGCAGGAGGAUCACUUGAGCCCAGGAGGUCGAGGCUGCAGUGAGCUAUGAUCGCGCCACUGCACUCCAGCCUGGGCGACAGAGUGAGACCCCAUCUCAA
rnacentral:SRP_RNA from 1 species